AUUGAACGCUGGCGGCAUGCUUUACACAUGCAAGUCGAACGGUAACAGGUCUUCGGAUGCUGACGAGUGGCGAACGGGUGAGUAAUGCAUCGGAACGUGCCCAGUCGUGGGGGAUAACGCAGCGAAAGCUGCGCUAAUACCGCAUACGAUCUAUGGAUGAAAGCGGGGGACCGUAAGGCCUCGCGCGAUUGGAGCGGCCGAUGUCAGAUUAGGUAGUUGGUGGGGUAAAGGCUCACCAAGCCAACGAUCUGUAGCUGGUCUGAGAGGACGACCAGCCACACUGGAACUGAGACACGGUCCAGACUCCUACGGGAGGCAGCAGUGGGGAAUUUUGGACAAUGGGCGCAAGCCUGAUCCAGCAAUGCCGCGUGCAGGAAGAAGGCCUUCGGGUUGUAAACUGCUUUUGUACGGAACGAAACGGUCUGG
rnacentral:rRNA from 1 species